AGAGUUUGAUCCUGGCUCAGAGCGAACGCUGGCGGCAGGCUUAACACAUGCAAGUCGAACGGGCUUCUUCGGAAGUCAGUGGCAGACGGGUGAGUAACACGUGGGAACGUGCCCUUCGGUUCGGAAUAACUCAGGGAAACUUGAGCUAAUACCGGAUACGCCCUUAUGGGGAAAGGUUUACUGCCGAAGGAUCGGCCCGCGUCUGAUUAGCUUGUUGGUGGGGUAACGGCCUACCAAGGCGACGAUCAGUAGCUGGUCUGAGAGGAUGAUCAGCCACACUGGGACUGAGACACGGCCCAGACUCCUACGGGAGGCAGCAGUGGGGAAUAUUGGACAAUGGGCGCAAGCCUGAUCCAGCCAUGCCGCGUGAGUGAUGAAGGCCUUAGGGUUGUAAAGCUCUUUUGUCCGGGACGAUAAUGACGGUACCGGAAGAAUAAGCCCCGGCUAACUUCGUGCCAGCAGCCGCGGUAAUACGAAGGGGGCUAGCGUUGCUCGGAAUCACUGGGCGUAAAGGGCGCGUAGGCGGCCGAUUAAGUCGGGGGUGAAAGCCUGUGGCUCAACCACAGAAUUGCCUUCGAUACUGGUUGGCUUGAGACCGGAAGAGGACAGCGGAACUGCGAGUGUAGAGGUGAAAUUCGUAGAUAUUCGCAAGAACACCAGUGGCGAAGGCGGCUGUCUGGUCCGGUUCUGACGCUGAGGCGCGAAAGCGUGGGUAGCAAACAGGAUUAGAUACCCUGGUAGUCC
rnacentral:rRNA from 1 species